UUUAGGGUUUAGUAAUUAAGGUUUAAAGUUUAGAAUUUAGAGGAUGAGUGAAAUUGGGGGUUAGGUUUAUGAUUUAAAGAAAAUUAAUAACUUUACAUAUUUUUAAUAUUUGAGUUUAUGGUUUAUAUUUGGGCGUAGAGUUUAUAUUUGAGUUUAGAGUGUAGUGAUUAUGGUUUAAUGUUAAGUAUUUAGGGGUUUAUGAUGAAGUUGUUAUAUGAUUUAUUAUUGAGGAGCUGAUAUGAGGUUGGUGUUAUAUACUAUUUUGGUGAUAUGGAAUAAAAC
rnacentral:lncRNA from 1 species